UUUCUUAUUUCUAACGAAAGGGCUUUUAUUCGAUUUUUCAAUAAAGAUGAGUUUUUACUCCUUUUUUAGAUUUUCCAUUAUAAAAUUCGAAGUUAUAUGAAAGGGUCAUUAAACUUAUCGAAUUAACUUCUCAUUGAUGUAUUCUUUCAUCGAGAUUUAAUCCAAACCGCGAUGGUAUUUUCUUGUUCCUGAAUGGGUCUUUUUCAUCUUUUUAGGUUUAUUCUCUACUCCAGGUAAAAAUCCGCCCAAUUUGGAUUUGUACAUAUAGGACAAAUGCUCCCAUUACCAUUUCUUUUUGUAUUUUUUUUUUUUUUUUUUCAAUUCAUUUUAUACAAGUAUUUAUUAGAGUUGAGAUAACUUUGCUUUAGAGUUGAGAUAACUUUGCUUGACAAUUAGGAUCUCUUUACAAAGAAAAAUAUGAAUAGCAAUCAUAGAUAUCUUACCAAUCCAAUUGGGUUUUUUCUAAACGGAGACUGGAUACUUCAUUUUUUUAGUCCAACCAAGUCAACCAUAAAUUAUUCUAAUUGAUAAUAGUAAUAUGAAUCCCCUUAAAAAUGGAUCUAAUUGCACUUCACGCUCCAAAUUUUGGAUAAUUCAAUUUAUCUUUCUUGGGCGAAACGGGGGAUAUCUCGAUCGGGGGAGAGAACGGGGAAAUACCAUAUGACCCAAUAUAUCUGAAAAGUCG
rnacentral:lncRNA from 1 species